rnacentral:sRNA from 1 species
UGCAACCUCCGCCUCCUGGGUUCAAGCAAUUCUCCCGCCUCAACCUCCCGAGUAGCUGGGAUUACAGGCACACGCCACCACGCCUGGCUAAUUUUUGUAUUUGAGUAGAGACAGGGUUUCACCAUGUUGGCCAGACUGGUCUUGAACUCCUGACCUCAAGUGAUUCACCCGCCUCAGCCUCCCGAAGUGCUGGGAUUACAGGCGUGAGCUACCACGCCCAGCCACAAAAAGGUAAUUUUAAAAAGAACCUUUUCCAAAACACCACCUUUCUUCCAGAUCACAAGGUUAGAAAAGACGUGGACUGCUCUGCGGCACCAGUACACCCAAACUGCCAUUCUCUAUGAGAAACAGCUGAAGCCCUUCAGCAAACUCCUGCAUGAAGGCAGAGAGUCCACAUGUGUUCCCCCAAACAAUGUAUCAGUCCCACUGCUAAUGCCGCUUGUGACCUUAAUGGAGCGCCAGGCUGUCACUUUUGAAGGAACCGACAUGUGGGAAAAAAACGACCAGAGCUGUGAAAUCAUGCUGAACCAUUUGGCAACAGCGCGAUUCAUGGCCGAGGCUGCAGACAGCUACCGGAUGAAUGCUGAGAGGAUCCUGGCAGGUUUUCAACUCGAUGAAGAAAUGAAUGAAAUCUGCAAGACUGAAUUUCAAAUGCGAUUGCUAUGGGGCAGCAAAGGCGCACAAGUCAAUCAGACAGAGAGAUAUGAGAAAUUCAACCAGAUUUUAACUGCCCUCUCACGUAAAUUGGAACCUCCUCCUGUAAAGCAGGCAGAGCUUUGAUAACUCUCCAGAGAACCUUUAGAAUAUCUUUUCAAGUUUCCCCAGCUUCAUCUUUGGGAAAGCUUACUAUUUGAUGAAGUAAUAAUGUGCAAAUCUGACAAUAUACAAGCUUUUAGUA